AGGAAAUGAUUAUGGAGAAAUGGUACGCAAUAUUUUAGACAGGUUAUUUAGCAUUUCUGUUAUGUCAAAAAUAAAUACGAAAGGGUCCUCUCGACAUGGGAAAGCAAAGAUAUACAGCAGCUAUAGGAAACAAGCUAAAGAAUGCCCCUGGACAACUUAAACGCGAUCAAGCAUCAAAUUGAAAAUUUGGUAUUGUGAAAUAUAAUAAAUUAAAUAUUAUUACGAUA